rnacentral:rRNA from 1 species
GAUGAACGCUGGCGGCGUGCCUAAUACAUGAAAGUCGAGCGAACGGACGAGAAGCUUGCUUCUCUGAUGUUAGCGGCGGACGGGGGAGUAACACGUGGAUAACCUACCUAUAAGACUGGGAUAACUUCGGGAAACCGGAGCUAAUACCGGAUAAUAUUUUGAACCGCAUGGUUCAAAAGUGAAAGACGGUCUUGCUGUCACUUAUAGAUGGAUCCGCGCUGCAUUAGCUAGUUGGUAAGGUAACGGCUUACCAAGGCAACGAUGCAUAGCCGACCUGAGAGGGUGAUCGGCCACACUGGAACUGAGACACGGUCCAGACUCCUACGGGAGGCAGCAGUAGGGAAUCUUCCGCAAUGGGCGAAAGCCUGACGGAGCAACGCCGCGUGAGUGAUGAAGGUCUUCGGAUCGUAAAACUCUGUUAUUAGGGAAGAACAUAUGUGUAAGUAACUGUGCACAUCUUGACGGUACCUAAUCAGAAAGCCACGGCUAACUACGUG